rnacentral:lncRNA from 1 species
GGAAAUGCCAAGUUGGCCUUUCAUAUUUGCGAAAGGUGGUGGUUUCCUGACAGCGAAGUCCUUCACAGUUUGCAUUGACAACGUUCCUCUCAUGCAAGCAUGCAGUCCUAGAGAGGCGUUCAAGAUAUUUUUCCUGACACACUUUGCGUCAACGUUGCCUACCCAAAAUAGGCAAGUCUUACCCUGGAGUUCACUCAUAGGUCAAUUGCCACUGUCAGUCCCGGAAAGGGCAUAAAGACUGAGCAUACACGUAGGAAACAGCACAACAUGAACCCCGAAAGUGGCGUCAUUGAU